rnacentral:rRNA from 1 species
GUGGGGAAUCUUAGACAAUGGGCGCAAGCCUGAUCUAGCCAUGCCGCGUGAGUGAUGAAGGCCCUAGGGUUGUAAAGCUCUUUCAGCUGGGAAGAUAAUGACGGUACCAGCAGAAGAAGCCCCGGCUAACUCCGUGCCAGCAGCCGCGGUAAUACGGAGGGGGCUAGCGUUGUUCGGAAUUACUGGGCGUAAAGCGCGCGUAGGCGGACUGAAAAGUUGGGGGUGAAAUCCCGGGGCUCAACCUCGGAACUGCCUUCAAAACUAUCAGUCUGGAGUUCGGGAGAGGUGAGUGGAAUUCCGAGUGUAGACGUGAAAUUCGUAGAUAUUCGGAGGAACACCAGUGGCGAAGGCGGCUCACUGGCUCGAUACUGACGCUGAGGUGCGAAAGCGUGGGGAGCAAACAGGAUUAGAAACCCUGGUAGUCC